rfam:Deltaproteobacteria bacterium RIFOXYB2_FTLL_66_7 rifoxyb2_full_scaffold_102444_curated, whole genome shotgun sequence.
GGAGGGAUGGCCGAGCGGCUGAAGGCGGCGGUCUUGAAAACCGCUGGGCGGCAACGCCCCGCAGGUUCGAAUCCUGCUCCCUCCG